UACGUAGGGUGCGAGCGUUAAUCGGAAUUACUGGGCGUAAAGCGUGCGCAGGCGGUUCGUUAAGACAGAUGUGAAAUCCCCGGGCUUAACCUGGGAACUGCAUUUGUGACUGGCGAGCUAGAGUAUGGCAGAGGGUGGUAGAAUUCCACGUGUAGCAGUGAAAUGCGUAGAGAUGUGGAGGAAUACCGAUGGCGAAGGCAGCCCCCUGGGCCAAUACUGACGCUCAUGCACGAAAGCGUGGGGAGCAAACAGG
rnacentral:rRNA from 1 species